GGACUACCCGGGUUUCUAAUCCUGUUUGCUCCCCUAGCUUUCGUGCCUCAGUGUCAGGAAUUGUCCAGGGACUCGCCUUCGCCACUGGUGUUCCACUUGAUAUCUACGCAUUUCACUGCUACACCAAGUAUUCCAGUCCCCCCUCCAAUCCUCGAGCAGAGUAGUUUCCAAUGCCAUUUCGGAGUUGAGCUCCGAGCUUUCACAUCCGACUUACCCCGCCACCUACGCACCCUUUACGCCCAGUGAAUCCGAACAACGCUUGGGACCUCUGUAUUACCGCGGCUGCUGGCAC
rnacentral:rRNA from 2 species